rnacentral:rRNA from 1 species
UACGAAGGGUGCAAACGUUGCUCGGAAUUAUUGGGCGUAAAGUGUGCGCAGGCGGCCGAGCAAGUCGAGUGUGAAAGCCCCGAGCUUAACUUGGGAACUGCGCUCGAAACUACUUGGGCUAGAGUGUGGCAGAGGGAGGUGGAAUUCCACGUGUAGCGGUGAAAUGCGUAGAGAUGUGGAGGAACACCGAUGGAGCGAAGGCAGCCUCCGUGGGCCAACACUGACGCUCAUGCACGAAAGCGUGGGGAGCAAACAGG